rnacentral:lncRNA from 1 species
GUGUGUCUGCAGGGAGGACUUUCCCAGCUCCUUUGCUGAUUGGUGUGCAGAAGCCCCACUUCCAUCGCAGGGGUCCUCCAAGUGACAAAGACAAACGUACAGGAGAGAAGGAAUCAAACAACAUCCAGAAACAAAUUGUGGACGAACUGCAGAAAGGGCCUGGUGGGUUCAUGUCCCUAAGCCUCCUCCUGAGACUCAGCAGCCAGGGGCUUUCUCUACCCAUCAGGACACGCUGUGCCCUGCACGGCCCCCUGCUGCUUUCAUGCCCUGCAAGGCUCAUGAAAGCUGGCCUGGCUGCAGCUUCUCCCCAGCCUCCACAGGAAGGCAUUUGGCAUCAGCUGACAGGGAGCCCAAACUGCAGCACAGGCCGUGCACACCCUGAGAUCCCCUGCAAUUCCCCAGUCUCUGAGCAGAUCAGAAAGGGCAGCUGUUUGGAGGAGGGAGGGCCCUGGCCCAGGCCAAAUAACCUGGGCACUUUCCUGGUCCCUGUCACUGAUAAAUACUGGCUCCUGAAGAUGCCACCACCCAAAUGGGGAACAGUUCCAUAUGAUCCAGCUGGCUCCUUUCUUUCUCAAGACAUGGACAUACAGGUUCUGUGGAAGGCAGCAUUUCCUGCAGGCAGCAGUCACUCGUCGGCAGCCUCUGCUGCAGGAAGGAAUGGGAUGGCACACAUGAGUACGGGCCCAGACACAGGAGAUUUGGUUGCUGGGAAGGCUCCUCCAUUAGCCUUGAGAUAUGAAGAUUUGAAGCCCUCUGGGCCACCUGCAGUUACAGGUGUGUCUGCAGACAGGAUUUCCCCAGCUCCUGGGCUGGAUGCUGCACAAAAGCCUGACUCCCAUCACAGGGAAAAGACCAAAUACACCUCAGAGAAGAAAUCCCAGGAGCGAUUUGAAGUCAUGUGGAAAAUGCUGAAGGAAUUCAAGCAGGGAGCACAAGAAGUGGAUGAAGAGGCUGUGCUGAAGGCGGUGUUUCCUGGAGGAAACAGUGGUUCACUGGCAGCCUCUGCUGCAGGAAGGGAGGCCAUGCCAGGCACAGUCCCAGGAGAUUGGGAUCGUGAUAUGGAUUAUGUGGAAGCCCUGGUGGAAAAUGGCUUGAAAUUCUUGGAGGAUAUUGGAGCCAAGCCGCUUGGUGAAGGUGAUGCAGCUUCUCAACCCAUACCCAGGACUGAGCCUCAGGGAGGUGGUGAGGUUACAGGUGUGUCUGCAGGGAGCACUUCCCCAGAUCUUGAGGUGGUUACUGCACCCAAGCCCGGCUCCCAUCGCAGGGGUCCUCCAAAAAGAAAGACCCAAGAUAAUGGAACCAAAAAGUCUGUAUUGUCAAAUGAUUUCCUGAGACCAACAAAGAAAGAAGUGCAGGGAGGACAAGGAGCAUGUCUGCACCUUCAGAAGACCAGCCAAAGACUCCACUCAGCGAGAAGCUGA